AGUCGAGCGGAGAGUUGGAGCUUGCUCCACUUCUUAGCGGCGGACGGGUGAGUAACACGUGGGCAACCUGCCCUGCAGAUCGGGAUAACUCCGGGAAACCGGUGCUAAUACCGAAUAGUUUGAGGCCUCUCCUGAGGCUUCACGGAAAGACGGUUUCGGCUGUCACUGCAGGAUGGGCCCGCGGCGCAUUAGCUAGUUGGUGGGGUAACGGCCCACCAAGGCGACGAUGCGUAGCCGACCUGAGAGGGUGACCGGCCACACUGGGACUGAGACACGGCCCAGACUCCUACGGGAGGCAGCAGUAGGGAAUCUUCCGCAAUGGACGCAAGUCUGACGGAGCAAUGCCGCGUGAGUGACGAAGGUUUUCGGAUCGUAAAACUCUGUUGUGAGGGAAGAACACGUACCAGCUAACUACUGGUACCUUGACGGUACCUCACCAGAAAGCCACGGCUAACUACGUGCCAGCAGCCGCGGUAAUACGUAGGUGGCAAGCGUUGUCCGGAAUUAUUGGGCGUAAAGCGCGCGCAGGCGGUCCCUUAAGUCUGAUGUGA
rnacentral:rRNA from 1 species